AUGCUUUCUUUGGUAGCAUACGUGCUGAAAUAGGAAAAAUACAGAGAAGAUUAGUAUGUUCCCUGUGCAAGAAAAAAAAAAAAAAAAAGAAUAAUAAUACUGAC